rnacentral:rRNA from 1 species
AAUCAACGCUGGCGGCGUGCCUCAGACAUGCAAGUCGAACGAGAACCUCCCUUCGGGAGGAGGACAGUGGCGCACGGGUGAGUAACACGUGGGUAAUUUACCCUUGGGUGGGGAACAACAGCCGGGAAACGGCUGCUAAUACCGCAUAAUGCAGCGGCUCGACAUCGAGACAGUUGUUAAAGCGGGGGAUCGCAAGACCUCGCGCCUGAAGAGAAGCCUGCGGCGGAUAGCUAGUUGGUAGGUAAUGGCCUACCAAGGCGACGAUCUGUAACCGGCCUGAGAGGGCGGUCGGUCACACUGACACUGACAUACGGGUCAGACU